rnacentral:rRNA from 1 species
UCAAAGAGGCAUCUCUUUGUUCUUAAAGCUUCGGCGGUUUGGGAUGGGCAUGCGUUCUAUUAGUUAGUUGGUGAGGUAACGGCUCACCAAGACCACGAUAGAUAGGGGGCCUGAGAGGGUUAUCCCCCACACUGGUACUGAGACACGGACCAGACUCCUACGGGAGGCAGCAGUGAGGAAUAUUGCACAAUGGACGAAAGUCUGAUGCAGCCAUGCCGCGUGCAGGAUGAAUGCCCUACGGGUUGUAAACUGCUUUUAUAUAGGAAGAAACCUCUCUACGUGUAGAGGGCUGACGGUACUAUAAGAAUAAGGACCGGCUAACUCCGUGCCAGCAGCCGCGGUAAUACGGAGGGUCCAAGCGUUAUCCGGAUUUAUUGGGUUUAAAGGGUCCGUAGGCGGGAAAAUAAGUCAGUGGUGAAAGCCUGCAGCUCAACUGCAGAACUGCCAUUGAAACUGUUUUUCUUGAAUAUAGAUGAAGUGGGCGGAAUAUAUCAUGUAGCGGUGAAAUGCAUAGAUAUGAUAUAGAACACCAAUUGCGAAGGCAGCUCACUAAACUAUUAUUGACGCUGAGGGACGAAAAGUGUGGGGAGCGAACAGGAUUAGAUACCCUGGUAGUCCACACCGUAAACGAUGAUUACUCGGUGCUAGCGAUAUACUGUUAGUGCCUAAGCGAAAGCGAUAAGUAAUCCACCUGGGGAGUACGGUCGCAAGAUUGAAACUCAAAGGAAUUGACGGGGGCCCGCACAAGCGGUGGAGCAUGUGGUUUAAUUCGAUGAUACGCGAGGAACCUUACCUGGGCUUAAAUGUAUUUUGACAGACUGGGAAACCAGUCCUUCUUCGGACAAUUUACAAGGUGCUGCAUGGUUGUCGUCAGCUCGUGCUGUGAGGUGUCGGGUUAAGUCCCAUAACGAGCGCAACCCCUAUCCUUAGUUGCCAGCGAGUAAUGUCGGGGACUCUAAGGAAACUGCCGGUGCAAACCGUGAGGAAGGUGGGGAUGACGUCAAAUCAUCACGGCCCUUACGUCCAGGGCUACACACGUGCUACAAUGGCGGAUACAAAGGGCAGCUACUUGGUGACAAGAUGCUAAUCUCGAAAGUCCGUCUCAGUUCGGAUCGAAGUCUGCAACUCGACUUCGUGAAGCUGGAAUCGCUAGUAAUCGCGUAUCAGCAAUGACGCGGUGAAUACGUUCCCGGGCCUUGU